rnacentral:rRNA from 1 species
AGAGCGAACGCUGGCGGCAGGCCUAACACAUGCAAGUCGAGCGCCCGUAGCAAUACGGGAGCGGCAGACGGGAUAGUAACACGUGGGAACGCGCCCUUCGGUUCGGAAUAACUCAGGGAAACUUGAGCUAAUACCGGAUACGCCCUUACGGGGAAAGAUUUAUUGCCGAAGGAACGGCCCGCGUCCGAUUAGCUAGUUGGUGAGGUAAUGGCUCACCAAGGCGACGAUCGGUAGCUGGUCUGAGAGGAUGACCAGCAUCACUGGGACUGAGACACGGCCCAGACUCCUACGGGAGGCAGCAGUGGGGAAUAUGGACAAUGGGCGCAAGCCUGAUCCAGCCAUGCCGCGUGGAUGAUGAAGGCCCUAGGGUUGUAAAGCCCUUUCGACGGGGAAGAUAAUGACGGUACCCGUAGAAGAAGCCCCGGCUAACUUCGUGCCAGCAGCCGC